rnacentral:lncRNA from 1 species
UAUAACAAAGAGGGGAUCAGUUCCUGAAACCUCAACAAAGAAAGGAUAUGACUACCCAGUUGGGCCAAUUCUCCUUGGGUUCUUUGUCUUUGUGGUUGUCGGUUCCUGUAUGCUCUUUCUACCUUAUGCUCUUUCUACCUUGUUGAUGAGUUUUUUUCUCUCUUCCUUUUAUAUAUAGUUUUCCCCUCAAUCACUCAUAUCACUACGUGGUGAAACAGUCUUUUCUUAUUAAAAAUUAUGACCUGCACCUGCAUGACAUCUCAGCUUAAAAGGCAUACUUAUGCAUCCAUGUAAACAUUUCUUGUAUAGCUUGUAUAAUCCACAUUGUUCAGGGUUCCUUUAACCCCCCCACAUCUGACUCCUUUGAUUGAGGCAUGGGAGAUAUUUCUAUUAUUAGUAUGUGAAUCUGUGAAUGUCUUGGACAUCGAGUAACAUUUGCAUCACUGCUACAAAAUGCAAUGUGUUUCUUAGUCAUGGUUUGUUGUCUGUAGUGAUUCUACUUUUGGAACUUUACUUUGCCAGUUAAUUUAAUUUAUGCCAGUUUUAGUAUGAUUUAUUCUCAUUUUAAUUUUAUCAGAUUCUCCUUCGGUGUCCUUAAAAACUUUCAUUUUUUCUCCUUUCCCAUUUUCUGAUUCACAAACUUAAAAUAUAGUUAUAAUGUUAAUGUUUCCGUUUCGUCUUUUUUGAAUGCAUAUACCACAUUCGGUGUGAUGCCAGAGACCACAUUAAAAGCUAAAGUUGAGUAACUAUGUUUUUUUGGAAGGAACAAAUACAUACUGGUAGCAUACUAUCAUAUUAUAGAGUGAGGAGCAUUCAGAAGUUGACCCUUUCUGUACACACCUUGUUUGAAGGGUUGAUAUUUCACAUCCAUAUAAAGAACUUGCUAAGCAUUACAAUACCUGAGGUCCCUAGAAUCUCUAGUAGACAUGAUUAAUCACUCUCCGUGAUACAAUUGACUAUUUACUGGAUCAUGUGUUUUCCCUUUCUUGUUUGGCAGCUCUUUUUCAGAUAAAUAGGACAGCUACAAGUGGCNNNNNNNNNNNNNNNNNNNNNNNNNNNNNNNNNNNNNNNNNNNNNNNNNNNNNNNNNNNNNNNNNNNNNNNNNNNNNNNNNNNNNNNNNNNNNNNNNNNNUUAUGCUCUUUCUACCUUGUUGAUGAGUUUUUUUCUCUCUUCCUUUUAUAUAUAGUUUUCCCCUCAAUCACUCAUAUCACUACGUGGUGAAACAGUCUUUUCUUAUUAAAAAUUAUGACCUGCACCUGCAUGACAUCUCAGCUUAAAAGGCAUACUUAUGCAUCCAUGUAAACAUUUCUUGUAUAGCUUGUAUAAUCCACAUUGUUCAGGGUUCCUUUAACCCCCCCACAUCUGACUCCUUUGAUUGAGGCAUGGGAGAUAUUUCUAUUAUUAGUAUGUGAAUCUGUGAAUGUCUUGGACAUCGAGUAACAUUUGCAUCACUGCUACAAAAUGCAAUGUGUUUCUUAGUCAUGGUUUGUUGUCUGUAGUGAUUCUACUUUUGGAACUUUACUUUGCCAGUUAAUUUAAUUUAUGCCAGUUUUAGUAUGAUUUAUUCUCAUUUUAAUUUUAUCAGAUUCUCCUUCGGUGUCCUUAAAAACUUUCAUUUUUUCUCUUUUCCCAUUUUCUGAUUCACAAACUUAAAAUAUAGUUAUAAUGUUAAUGUUGCCGUUUCUUCUUCUUUGAAUACAUAUACCACAUUCGGUGUGAUGCCAGAGACCACAUUAAAAGCUAAAGUUGAGUAACUAUGUUUUUUUGGAAGGAACAAAUACAUACUGGUAGCAUACUAUCAUAUUAUAGAGUGAGGAGCAUUCAGAAGUUGACCCUUUCUGUACACACCUUGUUUGAAGGGUUGAUAUUUCACAUCCAUAUAAAGAACUAGCUAAGCAUUACAAUACCUGAGGUCCCUAGAAUCUCUAGUAGACAUGAUUAAUCACUCUCCGUGAUACAAUUGACUAUUUACUGGAUCUUGUGUUUUCCCUUUCUUGUUUGGCAGCUCUUUUUCAGAUAAUUAGGACAGCUACAAGUGGCGGGAUGGCCUGAGAA